AACCUGUACAUCAAAAUUGCAAAAUAAAUUUUUAUACAUUUUUACUGUUUUGGUUGGUAUUAUUUUAUAAUUUUAAUCGUCUAAGUGAAAAUAUCUUGUUUACAAACAAUAGAAAUAUGGAUAUGAAGAACAUUGAUGGCAGUAUAUUAGAAGGUGGUGGCCAAAUUUUGCGACUAUCCGUAGCCUUUUCAUGUCUUUUUCAGCAACCUAUUAAAAUUACCAAAAUACGAGCAGGACGAUCUAAUCCUGGAUUGAAAGCUCAACAUUUAUCUGGAAUUAAUUUGGUUAAAGAGAUGUGCCGUGCUAAUACAAAUGGAGAUCAAUUAAAUUCUUGUGAAUUAUCAUUCUAUCCUAAAACUUUAAGAAUGGGAAAUUUCAAUCUGAAUGUUAACUCUCAAACUGCUGCGAGUAUUCCUUUAAUGAUUCAGUCUGUGUUGCCUGUAGCAAUAUUUAGUAAUCAGAAUUCUUCUAUAACUAUGAAAGGAGGAACAGAUGUCAGCUUUUCUCCCUCAAUGGAUUACGUAACAAAUAUUUUAUUUCCUAUUUACAAAUUAUUUGGUAUAGAUUGUGAAGCACAUAUUAUUAAACGAGGAUUUUACCCUAAAGGUCGUGGUGAAGUACUGUUAACAGUUAACCCAAUUGUUGGUUAUUUAAAACCUAUUGAAAUUAAUAAAUUUGGAGAUCAACCAGCUAUCAAAGGAAUCAUCUUUAUAUCCGGACCUAAGCAUCAAAUCAAUAAAAUAAAUCAAAUAGUUAAAGAUAUAGCUAUAGCUGUAAAAAAUAAGUUAAAUUUAUCUGGUUAUCAUAAAGUUACAAUUCACACUGAAAUUGGAGAUUCAGAAGGUUCUGGUGGAAGUUUAGUGUUGGUAGCCGAUACAGGAAAGUGUUUGCUUGGUUCAUCUUCUCUUUAUGAUAUGAGAAAAUCAACUGUGGACAGUAUCACUGAUGAAGCUUGUCACAAACUUUUAUUAGAAUUGGAAGUUAAGUCUUGUGUUGAUGCUUAUACUAUGGACAAUCAAAUGGUAAAUCCCUAGUAAAAUGUCGAGAGAUCACUCUGCAUACUAAAACUGCCAUUCAUAUUGCUGAACAAUUUACUAAUGCUAAAUUUAGUAUUAAACAAACAGAAGAUGGUCUGAAUGAAAUUGUUUGUAAUGGCAUCAAGCUGAAAAUUAUUUAAAGUCAAAUGUUUGUU
rnacentral:misc_RNA from 1 species